rnacentral:rRNA from 1 species
GAUGAACGCCGGCGGUGUGCCUAAUACAUGCAAGUCGUACGCACUGGCCCAACUAAUUGAUGGUGCUUGCACCUGAUUGACGAUGGAUCACCAGUGAGUGGCGGACGGGUGAGUAACACGUAGGUAACCUGCCCCGGAGCGGGGGAUAACAUUUGGAAACAGAUGCUAAUACCGCAUAACAACAAAAGCCGCAUGGCUUUUGUUUGAAAGAUGGCUUUGGCUAUCACUCUGGGAUGGACCUGCGGUGCAUUAGCUAGUUGGUAAGGUAACGGCUUACCAAGGCGACGAUCAGUAGCCGGACUGAGAGGUUGAACGGCCACAUUGGGACUGAGACACGGCCCAG